AUUGAACGCUGGCGGCAGGCCUAACACAUGCAAGUCGAGCGGAUGAAGGGAGCUUGCUCCUGGAUUCAGCGGCGGACGGGUGAGUAAUGCCUAGGAAUCUGCCUGGUAGUGGGGGAUAACGUCCGGAAACGGGCGCUAAUACCGCAUACGUCCUGAGGGAGAAAGUGGGGGAUCUUCGGACCUCACGCUAUCAUAUGAGCCUAGGUCGGAUUUGCUAGUUGGUGGGGUAAAGGCCUACCAAGGCGACGAUCCGUAACUGGGCUGAGAGGAUGAUCAGUCACACUGGAGGUGAGACGCGAUCCAGACUCCGACGGGAGGCAGCAGUGGGGAAGAGUGGACGAAGGGCGGAAGCCUGAUCCAGGGAUGCAGCGUGGGUGAAGCAGGGCUUCGUAUGGGAAAGCACUUUAAGUUUGGAAGAAGGGCAGUAAGUGGAUACCUGGCAGAUUGGACGUUACCAACAGAAUAGGCACCGCUAACUACGUG
rnacentral:rRNA from 1 species